GACAGAGGGUGCAAACGUUGUUCGGAAUUACUGGGCGUAAAGCGAGUGUAGGCGGUCUGAAAAGUCAGGUGUGAAAUCCCCGAGCUCAACUCGGGAACUGCGUCCGAUACUGGCGGGCUUGAAUCCGGGAGAGGGAUGCGGAAUUCCAGGUGUAGCGGUGAAAUGCGUAGAUAUCUGGAGGAACACCGGUGGCGAAGGCGGCGCUCUGGAACAUUUCUGACGCUGAGGCUCGAAAGCGUGGGGAGCAAACAGGG
rnacentral:rRNA from 1 species